AAAUACCCGAGUGAAUAAUAUUUGAGUGAAUAGUAAUCGGGUGAAUAGUAACUCGUGAAUAGUAACUUGUGAAUAGUACCCCAGUAUGAAAAGUGCCCCGAAUACCUGAGUGAAUAAUAUUAUAGUGAAUAGUAACCGGGUGAAUAGUAAUCCGUGAAUAGUAUCCCGGGUGAAAAUAUUGAUAUUUAAUAAGAAAGUUCAGAUCAAUAUUUCAAUAAAACGAUACUGGAUGAAGCGCAAAACUCAAUGAUAUUCC
rnacentral:lncRNA from 1 species